rnacentral:rRNA from 1 species
UACGUAGGGUGCAAGCGUUGUCCGGAAUUAUUGGGCGUAAAGAGCUCGUAGGCGGUCUGUCACGUCGGCUGUGAAAACCCGGGGCUCAACCCCGGGCCUGCAGUCGAUACGGGCAGACUAGAGUGCGGUAGGGGAGACUGGAAUUCCUGGUGUAGCGGUGAAAUGCGCAGAUAUCAGGAGGAACACCGGUGGCGAAGGCGGGUCUCUGGGCCGAUACUGACGUGAGGAGCGAAAGCGUGGGGGAGCGAACAGG